AAAUUGAAGAGUUUGAUCAUGGCUCAGAUUGAACGCUGGCGGCAGGCCUAACACAUGCAAGUCGGACGGUAACAGGAAGCAGCUUGCUGCUUUGCUGACGAGUGGCGGACGGGUGAGUAAUGUCUGGGAAACUGCCUGAUGGAGGGGGAUAACUACUGGAAACGGUGGCUAAUACCGCAUAACGUCGCAAGACCAAAGAGGGGGACCUUCGGGCCUCUUGCCAUCAGAUGUGCCCAGAUGGGAUUAGCUUGUUGGUGAGGUAACGGCUCACCAAGGCGACGAUCCCUAGCUGGUCUGAGAGGAUGACCAGCCACACUGGAACUGAGACACGGUCCAGACUCCUACGGGAGGCAGCAGUGGGGAAUAUUGCACAAUGGGCGCAAGCCUGAUGCAGCCAUGCCGCGUGUAUGAAGAAGGCCUUCGGGUUGUAAAGUACUUUCAGCGGGGAGGAAGGUGUUGUGGUUAAUAACCGCAGCAAUUGACGUUACCCGCAGAAGAAGCACCGGCUAACUCCGUGCCAGCAGCCGCGGUAAUACGGAGGGUGCAAGCGUUAAUCGGAAUUACUGGGCGUAAAGCGCACGCAGGCGGUCUGUCAAGUCGGAUGUGAAAUCCCCGGGCUCAACCUGGGAACUGCAUUCGAAACUGGCAGGCUUGAGUCUUGUAGAGGGGGGUAGAAUUCCAGGUGUAGCGGUGAAAUGCGUAGAGAUCUGGAGGAAUACCGGUGGCGAAGGCGGCCCCCUGGACAAAGACUGACGCUCAGGUGCGAAAGCGUGGGGAGCAAACAGGAUUAGAUACCCUGGUAGUCCACGCCGUAAACGAUGUCUACUUGGAGGUUGUGCCCUUGAGGCGUGGCUUCCGGAGCUAACGCGUUAAGUAGACCGCCUGGGGAGUACGGCCGCAAGGUUAAAACUCAAAUGAAUUGACGGGGGCCCGCACAAGCGGUGGAGCAUGUGGUUUAAUUCGAUGCAACGCGAAGAACCUUACCUGGUCUUGACAUCCACAGAACUUUCCAGAGAUGGAUUGGUGCCUUCGGGAACUGUGAGACAGGUGCUGCAUGGCUGUCGUCAGCUCGUGUUGUGAAAUGUUGGGUUAAGUCCCGCAACGAGCGCAACCCUUAUCCUUUGUUGCCAGCGGUCCGGCCGGGAACUCAAAGGAGACUGCCAGUGAUAAACUGGAGGAAGGUGGGGAUGACGUCAAGUCAUCAUGGCCCUUACGACCAGGGCUACACACGUGCUACAAUGGCGCAUACAAAGAGAAGCGACCUCGCGAGAGCAAGCGGACCUCAUAAAGUGCGUCGUAGUCCGGAUUGGAGUCUGCAACUCGACUCCAUGAAGUCGGAAUCGCUAGUAAUCGUGGAUCAGAAUGCCACGGUGAAUACGUUCCCGGGCCUUGUACACACCGCCCGUCACACCAUGGGAGUGGGUUGCAAAAGAAGUAGGUAGCUUAACCUUCGGGAGGGCGCUUACCACUUUGUGAUUCAUGACUGGGGUGAAGUCGUAACAAGGUAACCGUAGGGGAACCUGC
rnacentral:rRNA from 1 species